rnacentral:rRNA from 1 species
UACAGAGGAGCCAAGCGUUGUCCGGAUUGACUGGGCGUAAAGCGCACGCAGGCGGAUGCGCGCGUGGGGUGUGAAAUCUGGCCGCUUAACGGCCAGGCGCCAUCCCAUACGGCGCGUCUGGAGUGAUGCAGAGGUCGAUGGAAUUGCCGGUGUAGUGGUGAAAUGCGUAGAGAUCGGCAGGAACACCCAGGGGGAAACCAGUCGACUGGGCAUCUACUGACGCUGAGGCACGAAGGCCAGGGGAGCAAAGCGGG